rnacentral:sRNA from 1 species
ACACCGGGCAUCUGGCACAACCCCUGCAUAUCUCUCCUCAAGCUACUCACAUCGCUACAGCUUUCAAAGACGAAGGCUGAGCUUCCCGAGAGAACGGGACCGGACAAAGGCGUCCUCGCUAGUUAUCUAGCGGGACGCC